AUGCAGUUCGCCGGAGCCAUCCUGCUCCUCAUGUUCGUCCCCUGCGCCGAGGGACAACCGCCCGAGGCGACGCCGGCGGGGGGCUUGGCGAUCGAGCAGAUCCUGUCAAAGAACGGGUGCGGCGCCUUCGCCGGCCUCGUCGCCGCCACGGCCGGCGUGGGCCAGGUGCUCCGCGAGCAGAGCGACGCGGGGCUCGCCGUGUUCUGCCCGGACGACGGCGCGGUCGCGGCGUUCGCCCCGCGCUUCAGCAACCUGACCGCCGACCGCCAGGCGGCGCUCCUUCUCCACCACGGGCUGGCGGCGCGCUCCGGCGAGGUGGAGCUCUGGCUGAUCCACCGCCGCGGGCCAAUCGAGGUGCGGACGCUGGACGGGGGCCGCUGGGGCCACGGCGUGCUCAGCAUCUGCUACCUGGGAGGCGCCAUGCAGCUCGCCUCGUCGCCGCCGUCGUUCACGACGCCGGUCGAGGCCAGGGUCACCAGCACGGUCGUCUACAACGACCGCCUCACCGUCUACCUCAUCGACGCCGUCCUGGUUCCGGGAGCGCCGGCGCUGUUCGACUACUCGGACAUCUUGGUGACCACUUGCGUCAUGCUCGGGCUCAUGAUGUUAGUCUUGGGGUCGUGUGGUGCCAUUUGUUCGUGA
rnacentral:rRNA from 1 species